UCGUAAAUACCGAGACGCACAUGCACGACCAGGUGCAGCCGACCUGCAACCUGUCGAAAUUACCGUUCAACUUUUCUACGAACGUGCCAGGGCGGGGAUCAAGGUUGUAACGAGUAAGGCCAGCCUCUUCCUUGAUAUUGUCUUCAGACAAACAGGAGAAAGAACGUAACGCGCCAAUUACAUGUACAUAAAUAUGUACCUACCGUUUGGUGAAGCGGUUGAUGGCUUUUCCGCGUUACACCUCUUAAGAGUCGAACUACGUUGAACGUGGCAUUGAAGUUUCUUCGUACAGAAAUAGCUAGAUAAAUGAGCCUAUGAGAAGGACUUUGCGUACUUGUUUGAAAGAUACGUCAUCGGAAGAUCGAUGGAAACAGGGAGGAUUCGAUAAAGAAAAAUGAAGGAAAUGGAACAGGAACGUGCGAAUUCGCAACUUCUCCUCGUACACCAUGAUAUUGCACGUUCUAUCGAGACGAUAAAGAAAUUGAUUUUAAUGGUGCGAUAGGUAGAAAAAUAAUCGCACGGUGUAUCCGCGGACUUACGCAAGAAGGGUGAAGAAAGCGUUCAUCGGGCAGAAUAUCUUGAAGAGGGAAUUACACAACGUUGUACAAAUGAUUCCUCGAUUGUCGUUGGUCGAAUAUUUCAUUUCAUACAUAGGAAAAAUCAAACCAAUAUCGUUCAAUGAUCGUAGACGGUUAAUAAUUGAUGAGCAUUGAAUCUGAUCCUUCUCCGUUCGAAAU